CGGGGCGUGGCGCAGUCUGGUAGCGCGCCUGGUUUGGGACCAGGAGGCCCCGGGUUCGAAUCCCGGCGCCCCGA
rnacentral:tRNA from 1 species